rnacentral:lncRNA from 1 species
UCUCUCUCUCUCUCUCUCUCUCUCUCUCUUUCUCUCUCUCUCUCUCUCUCUCUCUCUCUCGUCCCGACGACACGAGAGUCCUCGUGCCUGAUAUAUAUAUACUCUCUCUCUCUCUAUAUAUAUAUAUAUAUAUAUAUAUAUAAUAUAUUCAUACCAUACUAGAGUGAACUCAUAUUUGAAAAUAAUGUUGUAGACCGAAAGAAGAAGCUACACUUUAGAAAGCGAUAAAUUUGGACCAUGAUCAAUUAUUAGUAACCUUCAAUUUAAAGAAUCAACUAGGAAAAUUUGGUCUGGGUGUGGAAUCCACAUGGAUGCUUAGUUGGGUUAAUUGCACCAUUAAUUAUUUUUGUUUUAUUGCAAUUAAGUUUGGCCGUGGCAAAAUGCCCUUUUAACUGGAGAAAAAUCGUCAUAUGAUCAAGAAGAUUUGAUGCUGAUGCGGUAUGCAUUAUGCUAACAUUGCAAAAUGGAGAGUGACGAUACAAUUAACUCUAAUAACAAUCAAAUUUUUAGCUAAUUGGACACACGUUCGUGUGAUUUUUGAGACAUAAUUAGUUGUUACUAUGCUUACAAAUUAAUAGAUCGUGAGCUGGGCUAUGUCUCUUUCAUUUGUUCCCAGGAUUUACCAAUAGGUCACUUAGGACCGCAGGGGAUCGAGGUGUCCCUUAUAAGUUAUAACUACAACAUACCCAACGGGCUUGCACGUAAUAUUUUUCUUCACACAGUUAUAUUUUUUUUUCAUUAUUUGAUUACAAGAUAAUGAUACAGGCAUGACAUAUUUGCGUGCGUCGGAUGUGUUCUUAACUCAGGGUCACUUCUGAACUUUUAUGUUGAGUACCAUAUAGGUGCAGCUGCUGCCACGCUGCGCCUAUCGAAAUCGAUCCUUAAUGUGAUUAACCCAGAAGUGCAGUUAAAAUCGUCGUCCUGUGAAUCUUGUUGCCAAUGAGCGGCGAGAUUAUUUCGCACGGUCCAGAUUAGAUAGCGUGGAUGGAUAAUAUAGUUGAUAAUCGGUGAGGACGUUGCUCUCUAUAUGUAGAAAAUUGCUCGAGAUAUACAACAGAUAUUUAUUAAGAAAUAGUGUUUCUCAGUUGGUACCAGUCCCUGUUGAAUUUUUCUCCUUUGUUAGGUUAAAAAAAAAAAAAAACUACUCUAGAACAUUACUUUUAUGAAAUUAAGUUUUACUUUCAACGAGACCCAAUACAUUGAAUCAGAAAAGAAAACCAAGUGUCAAGUGAAAAAUAGCCCAACAACGCAAAUUUGCUUCUACUUUGGACCAGUACAACGAGACGCGUGGGGAAAAAAUUUCGCAGGUUAGCAUUUAUUUUGUGUCACCCUCGUUCACUAUUUCGCAACAAGUUUUCUCUUAUACGAAAUUAUAAUGUGAAAAGAUUAAUUUUUGAAAAAACUUCAAAUACCACCCAUGUGUUUCGCAUUUUUUUUAUUUUAGUACCAUGUGAUUUAAAGUGUAUCACUUUAAUAUCCCGUGUUUUUAUUUUUCUCUUUUUAUUAUCCCCUCUAUUAUUUUUUUCGUUAAAUCAGUGACAAACUUAAAAUUAAAAGGUACUAAAGUGAAUAUUUGAUAAAUCUAGGUCGGAUAUUUAAAGUUUUUUGUAUAUAAUUUAACGAAAUAUUAACGGAUGAGCUGACGAAAAAAAAAAAUAAAAUAAUAGGAUACUAAAUUGAUACACUUUAAACUAUAGAGUACUAAAUAAAAAAGUGUAAAACUACAAAGAUGGUAUUUAAAGUUUACUCUUAAUUUUUUCUUAUAUGAAAAGAUGAAAAGACAGUAGCGGAGAGUUUCAAUAACUUGGUUGCAAGCGGAAUCCAGUUUGAAAUGUUCACGAUUGAACAUGGUUACAAAAAUUUGUUUUUAUUCCAUAAGCUCUCCAUCCCUGACAUUUCUAAACACCCGACACCUCUAAAUCGAUCAAAUUUCUAUUCCUCGCUCUCUUAUAUUAUGCUAUUUUAUUUAGUCUCAUAUCUUGAACGAGGUCACGACUCACGAGUAACCAACUGAAAUCACACAAACUUAAUUCCAUCAAUAAUACUAUGGUGAUUUCAAAUUAAAAAGACGACAAAAAGUACUUUUUUUGAAAAAAAAAUGGUAAACUAUCUGCUUUAUUUAUUACGCGAAUGUUUGAAACAGCAAUGUUCCUAAAACCUACCUAAACAAAAAAAAAAAAAAAAAAACAAAACAAAACAAAACAAAAGAAAAAGGGAAACAAAUAACAGGCAGGGAUUGCUCUGCCGCCCCACAACCACAAAAGCUAUUUUCUCUAGUCUUUACUGUGAAGCUCACCGUCCUGCUUGACUGCUCUACACCUUUCCCUAAAAGUGAUCUCAUCCUCAUAAAGAAAAAAAAGGUGAAAUUGUGUAGAACUUAUUUAAAGGCUCUUCAAAAUUUUAAUUUUGCUGUCCAAUUAAAUAGACUAUUUCUAAAAAGCGAAAAAUGCAGGAAAAUAAGUUAGUCUUCUCAUUUUCGAAGGAAAAAUACUCUUCUGUUAGGCAUUUCUUAUCUAUUUAUAAUUUCGCCCGUUGUUGUUCAGUUAUUCUUCCUAAUCGAUCACAUUUCUGAUUUUGUGUGCCACUAUCAGCCGAUUCUAACAGCAUAAGUUUUAACUAUUUUUCGAUUUUACCGACCAUCCCUAAAGCAAGUGGCAAAGGAUUUGGUGGUUGGUACCCGAGACCCAAGUUCGAAUCCUAAUUGAUUCACAUUUCUAGCUAAAUUUAUUUCUAAAUAAAAUAAGUGAAGCGGGUAGCGUGCUACCUAUCUCUAAAAAAAAAAAAAAAAAAAAAAAAAAAAAAAAAAAACUAUUUUUCGAUUUUAUGUGUGUUCUUCUCUACCACUGGUGCACCGCAUACUACUUAUCUCUCGCUUCAAAGUUGUUUUCAUGCGGUGCAUUUUAGUUCACCAUGUGGCGCAAUUUUUAGGACACCAACACACACAUAACUCUUGAAUAUCAUCUUAAAGACCUACAGAAAAGCCUCAAUUUUCAUGUUAUUCGCACGUAGCAUACUUCCACAAUCUCUACAGCAACAGAUUUAAAUCAAAUACAAUAAUAUAAUAUAAAAUUAUCGACCGUCUCCAGAGCAAGUGCCAAAGAACUUGGUGGUUGGUACCCGAGGUCUCAAGUUCGAAUUCUAGUUGAUUCACAUAUCCAGCUAAAUUUAUUUCUAAAUGAAAUAAAUGAAGCAGGUAGUGUGUUAUCUAUCUCUAAAAAAAAAUAAUAUAAUAUAAAAUUAGAUAAGAAAAAUUAAAUUUUUUUUGAAGUUCAUGCUAGAGUUCAUAUUACUUGACCCCAGAGAUGUUUCCGCUCAAAAUUUCGUGACCAUUUAGGGAUAAUCUUUAAUUCUAAGUUGCGUGUACAAAAAGGCUUUUAUUUCUCCACCCCACGAAAAAGGUUUAAAUCUCAUUCGCUCAACUUUUAUUAGUCAUGUUUGUGAUGUUAAAAGGUAAACCCAAUAGACCCUUUUUCUCUGUAGAAUUUACUAGUAUGGGUCAAUUCGACCCGUAAUAGAUACGUGAUGUUCCAAAGAAACAUUCAAAUGUGACAUAUACUAAAGAAAAUUCUCCUAUAAAUAGUCACAUAAUUAUAAGCCCAUUCUCACCAUACCUAGUGUGUAAAUUACUUCAUCCCACUCCAUAGAAUGAAGCUCUUAGCACUAUCCGUCCUCGUGCUCUUAUUUUGUUUUUGCUUUAGUUUCUCCUCUCCUCUGCCUCUUCGGCGUUACGGGUCGAUAUUUAGCUUUGGUGAUUCUUACACAGACACAGGUAAUUUGGCCAUUUUAUCACCGGAGAGUCCUGCAGGUCAUGUACCGUAUGGUAAGACUUUUUUCGGCCACCCUAAUGGUCGUUGCUCUGAUGGACGAUUGGUCAUAGAUUUCGUUGGUACGUAUUUCACUCAUUUCAUUUAUCUCAAUUCUUUUUUUGCUUUUUACUUAAAAUGAGACCGCCUUAAAUAAUUUUUCUUUUUCUAUUAUGAGAAAAGUUUUAAAGUUAUUAUUUUUCUUUAUCUGUGUGCGUGUAUAUGUAUAUGUAUAUACAGCCGAGGCUCUCGGGCUCCCAUUGAUUCCACCAUACUUUGGCCACGAUAAAAGCUUCCGGAAAGGCGCAAACUUUGCUGUCGGAGGUGCGACGACGCUCGACCUUUCGUUCUUCCAAAGUAGAGGUAUUUUGAGCAGCAAUGCGGCUCCGCUCAACAUCUCGCUGGAUACCCAGCUUGGUUGGUUCCAGCAGCUGAAGCCUACCCUUUGCAACUCAACCAAAGGUUGCGACCAUCUUGUCUCUUCAGCAGCUUCUCUAUUCCGAAAAGCAAUAAUAAAAUUAAUUAAAAUAGAAAAAAAUUAAUUAAUGCCAUUAUUUCAGAUUGUAGGAACUACUUCGGCAAAUCCCUCUUUGUAAUAGGAGAAUUUGGAAUCAACGACUAUCAAUUAGGAUUGUUCGCAACACGUAAUUUAGAUGAAGUGAGGUCCUAUGCGCCCCAAGUUAUCAAAGCUAUUUCUACGGCAUCGGAGGUACGAAAAUAUAUUUUUUCUGUUGAAAAAUAGUUUUACAUAUACCGAAAGCACUGUAUACUAACAUAUGAUCGUAAAUUUUUAAGCUAUUGUUUGGUUAGGGGUUAGGGGGUGAAAUAACCCUUUAACCCCUAUUUUAUUUCCAAAUACUUCUAAAAACGGGUGGGGUUAGCUAACCCCACCUCUAACCCCACCUCAAAUGGAUUAUCCCGGAUUAGCUAAUCUCAUCUAAUCCCACCAAACUCCAAAUAAAUACUAUUUUUUAUUCAUAAUAACCUACUAUCCUUCUUAUCCCACCUACUCCGACCAAACACUAUUUUUCACUAUUCUGGACUAAUUCCAACCCCCAAUCAAACACAAAAAUACUCUAACCUCACCUUAACUCUAAACUUAACCCUAUUCCUGGAAUAACUAGUUUUUUCUUAACCCCGAACCAAACGGUAGUUAAUAGUUUUGCAAGAAACCAGACACUAGAACCGUAGUAGUGUCGCUAAACCGCUUCAUUAUAAUUUCCUAACAGAGACUCAUCGACGAAGGGGCCAAGCAUAUCGUAGUGGCGUCAAAUCCACCGACCGGGUGCAAUCUGGUGAUACUAGCGGCAUUCCAGAGCCCUAACGGAGAUGACUACGAUCGACGGACCGGGUGCCUGAAGAAGUUCGACGACUUGGCGAGGUACCACAAUGAAUUGCUCCGUCAGGCGGUAGCAGAGCUCGGUCGAAAGUAUCCGUCUACGAAGAUCAUCUACGCCGAUUACUACAGUCCAGUGAAGCGGCUCGCGCACUCGCCUAAACACUUCGGUGAGCUGCUGCUCUGUUCUUCAGCAAAUGUCUUUGGUUUAUGUACCUGCAGUUUCGAAUCAGGUUUAGUCAAAGUGAUUGUGAAACAUCAAGAGCAUAUAAUUGAAAACAUAAUGAAAAUAUAUAUACUCAUAUAUUAAACUUAAAUUUGUUUUAUUAUAGACAAUAUAAUUAUUUUUUUUUUCUUUUUUGUUGCAGGAUUUAGUAAUGGAGCUCUCAGGGCUUGUUGUGGGGGAGGUGGACCUUACAAUGUUAGUGAACCAUGCGGCUCACCGGACUCGAGUUCAUGUAACGAUCCCUCGACUUAUGUUAACUGGGAUGGAGUCCACUUAACCGAAGCCGCUUACAGUCACAUUGCAACCGGUUGGCUCAACGGUUCCGACGCUGAGCCGUCUAUAUUAAACAUGCAUUAAAUCCUAAUAAUUUUAUCUCUUUUUUUUCAUGUGUUUCUGUAGCGAAUAACAUAAAUUUUUGCCAAAUUAAGAGGACUAAAUUAGGGGCUCAAAAUGAAAAUGUUUGAUUUGGAGUGAUUCCCUCUUUUUCUUUUGGUUGUCCUCUAUAUAUUUUUUUUUAUCUUAUAACUGUUGGGUGCUAAUUAAUAUGUGUUCGAUGGAUUUGCUUUUUCAUACAGAAUGAGUUUAGGCCCAAGCCCAAGUUAGGUGCCAAUAAAUGUGUCACACACUAUGCAAGCUUCCAGUUUAGGUGGAUUGGACAUGUUUUCGCAUUCUAGCAUUUGCUUCACAACAUUUUAUAGUUUCACAUGCUAGCAUUUACUUUGUUGUUUUCAACUGCAGUCAUCUCUAGCAGAAUUAAAAUAUCUACCAAACUAUUAAGUGCGCAGAUUCUAUUACCGCGGAACGCGAAACGACCAUUCUAAAGUCCAAAUAUAAGUUCCAAUUUACUUUGUUGUUUUCAACUGCAGUCAUCUCUGGCAGAAUUAAAAUGUCUACCAAACUAUUAAGUGCGCAGAUUCUAUUACCGUGGAACGCGAAACUACCAUUCUAAAGUCCAAAUAUAAGUUCCAAUUUAGAUCUUUUAAUUCCGUUGCCAAAACAAAAGUUCCUAAAGUGACUCUUUUCAGAUAGCGAGCGUAUCUUUUUAAUUGUUCUAAUUUAUCCGCUAAUUAACUUGUGUAAAUUAUUAUACUUUUCGUUCCAUUCCAAAAAAAAAAAAUGUCCACUUAGACAAAAAUCUCUCGUAGUUUUGCAUGAUAAACAAGAACAUAUCACUGGUCGUACAUAAUGCAGGUAGCUAAGAAUUUAAUGAUUUGUAUCCAAGAUUUCAAAUUCGAAGACCUGUCGUUUUACAUUUCUAGCUCAGUUGAUUUCUAAAAUAAAUAACAACAUAUCAAAUAUUUUUAGAGUUACAUUUAGUAAAAAAGAAUUGAUUCUUCCCAACGGUCACCAAACAAUGUAUGCUGCAAUUUAUUGGCACCUACAUUGUCAUACUUUUACAGCGAACAUUAAUUACAGGGAAAUUUUGUCCACAUAAGUUAGGCACCAAUAACAGGGUAAAAAAAAAAUCAAAUGAAUAAUAAAAUGUCUAGGUAGUCCCUCAACGAUCCUGAUAUUGCAAGUUGGUCCUUAUCCUUUUAAUGUUAGUACAGUCACAACCUUUUACGUAAAAGAAAUAACUUUUCUUUGAAAUGAAUAUUUAAUCUACCGCUUCCGUAAAAUGCUUGAUUGAUUUUAAUUCAACCCAAGCAGGAUUAAAGAGGCAAUUACAGCAAAAGUAGGAUUUAAAGCUUGCAAAUGAAAGGGAAAAUUACAGGAACUAAUUUGUAAAUGGCGACAGUACAGGGACUUCUCCGUACAUUUUAUGCAGAAUUUUGCAACUAUAUGUAGGAAUGGGGAGGGCCUUAGUUCAACUUGUUACUGUCUCUUUCACUGCCUCUCCUUCUCCCAUGAAUCAACUAACACUCAUUCUUGCGCUUUUGUCCUCCUACAUUUCCCUUAUUCAAUCCACACCCCUAAACUACACCUCCGUAUUUAGCUUUGGUGAUUCAUUAGCCGAUACCGGAAAUCUCCUACUUUCCGGCGCGCUCCCUUUCCCUUCAAUCGGCCAUCUCCCUUAUGGCAUUACCUUUUUCCGGCACCCCACCGGUCGCUGCUCCGACGGCCGUUUAAUUGUCGAUUUUAUCGGUACAUUUUUUCUUACACUUCAGUCCUAAAAUCUUUCAGUACUACAUAUUAGUCCCUCGGAAGUCGAAAACAAAAAUAUGUACUGUUUCAUGCAGCUGAAGCAUUUGGGCUACCAAUGCUUCCUCCUUACUUAGCCCGCGGGGCGGAUUUCCGGCACGGCGCGAACUUUGCGGUCGGAGGCGCCACCGCGCUAGACCCGGAAUUUCUACAAGAGAUUGGAGUUGGGGAGCUUCUUUGGACUAAUAACUCAUUAAGCGCGCAAUUGAGGUGGUUCGAGGAAUUAUUGCCUUUGCUUUGCAACACGACAAAAGGUGAUAGUCUCAAUACGACUGAAAUUUCGCGCGUAAAUUACUAAACUAUUUUAAAUGCGAUUUAGAUUGCAGAGACUAUUUUAGUGCUUCUCUGUUUCUCGUCGGUGAGAUUGGAGGGAACGAUUACAACUACGGAUUUUCUGUAGGGAAGAGCAUGGAGGAAAUUCGAUCUUAUGUUCCGAACGUGACCGGUGCGAUCGCAACAGCUACUGAAGUAUGUAACACCUAAUUAAUUCAUAUAAUUCGCGUCGAAUGUUAAAAUUUGACAUAGAUCAGUAAUUUUUACUACACAUUUAGAGUUGACACAAAACAUUUGGUCGUAACAUGUAUAUUUUAUUGUACUGUUAAUUUAAUAUCUUUUCUUUUUAUUCAGAGAUUGAUCAAUAACGGCGCGAUUCACCUGAUGGUGCCCGGGAAUUUACCCUUUGGUUGCUCGUCGGUGUACCUAACGCUGUUCGGAAGUGUGAGAAAAGCCGACUACGAUCGUCGGAACGGGUGCUUAAAGAAGUUCAACAGUUUCGCGAAGUACCACAAUGCGUUGCUUCGUCGGGCGCUGGCGAGGCUACAGAGGAAGUACCAAAGAGCGAGGAUCAUCUAUGCCGACUACUAUGGCGCGGCGAUUCCGUUUUCGCACGCACCAAAACACUUUGGUGAGAUCACAUUCAAAAGUCAUUCACUAUUGAGGGGAAUAGUUUUCUACCCGCACUAAAUUUGACCAAAUUCAAUGAACCUGAUUUCUAAAUAGAAAACUGGACUUAUCCGACUCUUUCCCUCUUUAAAUUGUUUCUAGGGUUCACACACGGUGCUCUAACAUCAUGUUGCGGCGGCGGCGGCCCUUACAACUUCAACCCUGCGGCCCGGUGCGGCCACCAGGGCUCAAGCGUUUGCUCGGACCCGUCUUCGUAUGCUAACUGGGACGGGGUUCACUUAACCGAAGCCGCUUACCGCUCUAUCGCAACCAAUCUGCUCCACGGUCCCUACACUCAUCCGCCACUAAUGAAACAAAAUUCGUAAUAAAGGGCGGUUUUAUCAAAUUUGGUCAUUAUUUAUUGAAAAAACAGAUUAUGUAAAUUUGAUCUAUUUAUAGUAAAAAUGACUCUGUUAAUAUAUACGAAAGGUUAAAAUGAUAGCAGUGUGCUUUGCUACUAUCAGGUGCGACAGCUUGCAUUGAGAUGAAGGGUCGAACCAACGAAACAUUCUAAUGAUAGUCCCGUCAUAGUUAUUUAUGCAAGGAUAUGUAAAAAUUAUCUUGAUUUGUAUAAUGAAAUUCUUUAAAAGUUCUCACUGAUUUCAAUUUUUGCACCUGUUACAACAAACACAUCAAACAUUUUGUGCACGAUUCAAUUUUUAUCCACAGGGAGUUGCAUUUUACAUUUGCAACAUUGUCUACUACACAAUUUGUUGAUAAUUAUUACAAGCUUAAGAACUAUACAAUCUAAAAAAGAACCACUGCAUCUAAUUUACAGCAAUUGAUCGAUCACUCACUCAAAAGAAAGCACCAAACACAAAAAUCUCAACUACCUGUUUUGCGAAACGAUUACUCGUUACAUUGUCGGAUAAGACGGAGACGUCGCUAGACCGCACAUUCCUUCAGGUGCAGCCACAUCCUUCUGAAAAUAUAUGUAUCCUUCAUCUCCCCACGAUGUUCCCCAUGAGUUCUUCACAAUCCAAUACUUCGUUCCCGCAUCGUCAUUUUGUCCGUACCCGACGAUGCACAUAGCGUGAUUGAUAGAACUACCACACGGUCCGUCGAAGAUGCCACCGCUAUAGUGCUGGAUCGCAGCGGCAUCGACGUUGACAGACACGGGUCGAUUUGCCACCACAUUCAUGAGCGCGUUUUCGUCAUUCGGAGGCACGUCCUCGUAGCCGUAAAUUGUAGCUGCUCGGCCGUUCUGCAACUUCUGGACGUCGCAACACUUCCGCGUCCCGGUGUAGGGGUAGUCAGCCUCGGAAUUGAUGCCGCCAGCGUAGACGACGAAGCGAAAGGCAUUGUUGACCCAGCUCGGCGAACAUCCGCGGUCCGUAAAGUCGCAAUCUAUGAUCUCUUGCUCCGACAGAGGUGUCGAUUGUCCCGUCACUAUCUGGAUGAUCCCCUCCAUUGCUGCUACUGCAGAAAACGCCCAACACGAACCUAUUUUGAACAUAGAACAAUAUUUACCAGUCGCAAAAGUAAUAACAUACUAAAACUUCCAAAUGAGAGAGGUUUUACUUAUAUUUUGAUUCUUACUGCAUGCCCCUUGGUCUCUGACAUAAGUUACUGCACCUGCGGCUCUCCAAUCUACGGUGGUCGGUGGAUCGACGGCACCGUCAUUUCGCAGCGGCUUCGGGCGCCUCAUCAAAGUGGCAUUACGGGGACGAGCGCCGGUGUAGGUAGACACGAACUCCUCGGUCGUUAAAUCAGUAAACUGGUUAAUGCCGAGAGUGUACUUGUGCUUCCCCUCCUUAUUGAAGGCUUCGAUAUAGUUCGCGUUAUCCUUGAAUAUCUUAUACCGACGCUGCUUCUCAUCGGCGUCUUUAUAAACUCGGCCAUAUUGCGCCAUCCAUUUUUCGUGCCGCUCCGGCGUCAACCAAUAUUCCGGUUUGUCAAGCGAGGCCACCUCUAGACACCGUAGGAGAGCAGUAGUUGCGAUGAUCGAAAGGAAUAUGAAAUGGCAUGAAGAAGCCAUGCUAAUUAUUAAUUUUAUGAAUCAAAUUCUAUGAGUCCUAACCUUAAUUUUUGGUGGUGAUUUGGUUUUUAUAUAUAUAUAUAGCAAUGGAAAAAAAAAGCCACGGGUGACAAUGGAGGAGUACUUGAGCUAGAAAAAGCUGUUUUGUGUUUACAGUUGUCUCAUAAAGCGUGUAUUCCGUUUGCUCACGCUUCAUGCCGAUUCUUCUGCUUGUUUCUUCAUCAGGUGAAAUUAUGAUGAUAGAGAAUUUCUUUCUCUUUUUUUUUUUGUUUUCACCUUCAAGGAAAAGAUUUUAAAAAAAAGGAUUAAUUUUAAGCGAUUAAGUGGUUCUUCUAAUUGAAUUUGUCGAUAGACACCAGACAGUGCGCGGCUCCCCUUGACGAUGGUUAUAGAUGGAGCGUGACUUUCCACAAAAUCUGUCGAUAUACAACGGAAAAAGCACGGUCUCACGUCGGUUAGUACUUGAGUGCCCUAUAAUUUAAGAUAAUCUUAUAUAUAAGAUAUAGUAAAACUAAACCUGUUAAUUCGGCUCUAGUAUUUUAAGUGAUAGUUAGCCUCAAGAGGUUAAGAGGGUUAAGUAUGUUACGACUUGAUGUAACUGGCAACCUUAUGUGCCAAAUGCUUUUUUUUUUGCUUAUUUUUUUAAAAUUUGGUUUCUAAUUUUUGUAUUUUGUGUCAAUCGUAUCCCAUAUUUCUAAAUUUUCACUUUAUUUUGACGAAAUAAGUUGUAUCAACUUCAAUAAAAUUCUUCCUACAUGCUCAUAAUGAUCAUGGUUAUGGUUGGGUAAUGGGCAGCCCACGGUUGACCUUGAUAUUGACUUUUAAAAUUUCUAAAAGAGUUUGGUGGAACGUUUCAUAAAAAUGCCAGAUAUUUUAAGAAAGACAGUAGGUAUCAUAUGAGGGGUCAAAAAAGAUGCAGGCACAGAAAGACAGCACAUGGAUCAUGCAUUUUUGGAUUGAACUCAAAGUUAGUUUGGUGGUAGUCUAACAUUCCAGCUGACUACACCUGCCUAGAGCUUUUUGCAGCUCUGGGAAAAGAGAUUUUGAUUUAUACAUUUGGGCUUCUGUACUGUCAGAUAUAUUUUGGGAAAUUAGUCAUUCAUCUCCUGCACCUAAGUUGACUAGCAGAAACAAUAAUAUUUUUUUGACAAAAUAAUCAUUUCUCUCCUUCUCUAUAAUUACUCUCUCAUUCCGCAUGCCGUUCGCGAGCCGGCUCGUGUUCGGCUCGAAAUAAGUUCGUGAUCGAUCGCUCGUUUAGUAAACGAGCCGAACACGAGCUGAAUUUUUCGGCUCGUUUAGUAAACGAGCCGAACAAGAGCUGAAUUUUUCGGCUCGUUUAAUAAACGAGCCGAACACGAGUUGGGGUAAGCUCGCUCUGUUUCGGCUCGACAACAGCUCGAAUACAUAUAUUUUAUAUUUAUAUAAUUUUAUUUAAUUUAUAUUUAUAUAUAAAUAAAUAAUUAUAUAUAUAAUAUAUAUUUUUAUUAUUUAAUUUUUAGCAAAAUAAAAAUAUAAAGGCGAGCUCAAUUAUAAAAAAAUUCAUUUAUAUGUAAAGUUUCAACUAUUAGAUCAAAGUCUAAUGGAUAAGAUUUUAUAAAUUUAUUUUUUAUAUAUAUAUUUAAUCUAAUCCUUUUAACUUAUUGUUCGUUGGCAAGCUAGCUAGCUCGUGUUCGGCUUGUUUAUUAACGAGCCGAACACGAGUUGGAUUUUUCGACUCGAUACUUUAACGAGCCAGCUCGUGUUCGCGAACACGAAUUUUUCGACUCGAAACUUUAACGAGCCAGCUCGUGUUUGGCUCGUUUACACCCCUACCAGAUAGGGACUAAAGUGUAAUAUGCGCGAAAGUUCAACACUAAAACCUUUUAGUAAAAGAUACAGAAACUAAGUCGCUAACCAUGCCUCCCCGAGGCACCAAAGCCAUUGAUUCCAAGCUAAAAUUAAAGAAAUAAUACCUACAAGUUACAUAUUGCUAGAAAAAAAAAGGAAAAAAAAGGGGCAUCAAAUAGGUAGCAGAGCAUUUCUCAGGUAUCAGAUGAACUAAAGAAUAAAGUGGCUGCAACACAGACAAAAUGAAAGCAAAGAAACUAAACUAGAAUGAUUGUGUACCCUCUAUCACAAAAAGUUAUGGCUGUAGUCCAAUAUUCCAACAUUAAUUAUACGUACUUCACAAAUAAAAAAAAAAGAAAAAAAGAAAAGAAAAAAAAAAAAGCUGUGUUAUCGAACUAAUCGGGCUGCGUGGUUAAGUUUGAACAGCACCCUAAUCUCUCCUAUGAAGCUAAUCAAGAACUAAGACUAUGAACAUGCAAAACUCACUCAGAAAUUUACAAGAGCUCCCAUUCUGAGUCCAAGGAAUCAUCAAGAAGUUUCAUAUUUAAAGGCGUAGAUCGGGCGAAUCCAUGUGUGCCGUGUGUUUCCAUGUCUGUGUCAUAUUGCACAUUAUUAUCAGCAUGCUUCUUGGCCUUCAGCCAUCGCAGUUUCGAGAUCAAGGAUGCCCCAAAUUUUAACUGCAGAAAAUAAAAUCAUCUUUAGCAUUUCUUACAUAGAAAACUUCAAAUAGGUGUGUGUGAUUAUAUAUAGAUAGCUUCAAAUAAUUUAUGAACAUACUAUAUCAUGUUUGCGGUAUAACAAUUUUGGCUAUCUUAUACAGAUUAUUCAUGUAAUAACAACAAUUAUAAGGCCAGGGUUCAGAAAAAGUCUAGAUAGUCGCCAGUUAAGAUUCAAACGAACCGAAACAAUUUAAGUUUGGUUUGUUUCCAUUUGUUUCAGCUCGUUUUCAGGUUUAUGUAACGAUUACCUUGUAUGGCUUAUGCUUGUGUUCACUGUAUGACACCAGAGUGUGAUCAUAAAUUUCAUCAUCAAUAUUCUGCAGAUCAACAUCCUCGAAUUUGUGCUCGACUUUGUUUUCCAAAUAAGCAGCAUCAGCACUAUUUGAAAUGUCGAUAUUCUCUAGAGUGUGAUCAUAAUCUUCAUCGUCAGUAUCCUGCAGAUCAACAUCCUCGAAUUCGUGCUCGACUUCGUUUUCCAAAUCGGCAACAUCAGCACUAUUUAACAUGCUGAUUUUCUCCGGAGCAGCUGCACAAGUUAAAGCACUUAUUAGCCUAUCAGGACAGGACAGCCAUUAAUACAUAACACACUCUGAUAUGCAUGAUAGGCGAACAACAAAAGUAGAUUCUAUAGGCCGCAUGAACUCGGCGUGACGAUGUGAUAAAGACUAUAAGCAAAUCAGAAAGCGGAAAUCGAUUAAGAAGGAAAAAGUCUAAGCAUGAAAUUUUACAGUCCAUACAUGGCAGGAUCAAAGCUGAAAUAUCGAAGUAUCAAUUAGUUAAUUGGAAUACAAUGGCUGUAAGACAUAUGCUCAGUGCAGAAUGAAGCAUUCAGCAUAACUAGCUGACGGAGUUGGAAGAUCGAAAGGUCUACUCAUCAAGAAGUGGAUGUAGAUUAGGCUUUUAAUUCAUGUAUCCUCUACGAACAAGAAAAGUAGAGUCGGCUACAACAGGAAAUGUUUAAGAAAACAACAGAAAUAGAUCUUUGGUACAGAUUCAAGAAGUAGAUUCCACAAAGCAAUAUAAAAAAAAAAAAAAAAAAAAAAGAAAAAGAAAAAAGAAGAAAGCAAAUGAGGAGAGAACUGCAUACCAUCAAUUUUAUUCGGUGACGCAUAGUCUUCUAUCAAGCUUGCAUCUUCUGACGAAAGGACAUCGCCUAGCAAAGCAGCAUAGAUGUUAAGAAAUGUGAAAAUAUUCAAUUUAACUAAUGAGAGAACAAUAAUUAUGAGAUCAUGCUCAAUCAUGAAUCAUGCGUACAGCAUGCAAUCUGACGAAACUGUUAAACCAUCAGGUCAAAUUGUUAAAUAGAGGAUGUAGAUUAAACUAUAUUUCACCAGCUAAAAUUCAAUCUGAAAAGAGCAUAAAUAGCUUCAGCGGCAACAGAAUAAAGAAAAACAGCAAAGGUAAAACGGGGCUAACGAUAUGCAAAUUCCGCACAAGAAUAUUACAGAGCUUAUAUAAGCAAAAGACAUUACAAGAACAUGAGCAUUAAAAGGAAUUAAAUGCUGACCGUCUUUCUGUGGCUGCACAUAAGGCUCUAAAUUGUCGACUUCGGCUGGCUCAUCACCUUCAUUACUACUGCACACUUGAACAGAUGCCGACUCCUGAGAUGCGCAGGUUUCUGCCAUGAGAUCGAUCAGUUCGAGAAGGUAAAACAAGUCCAAGAACAGCAAGUGAACACCAUAGAAUAGGUAGAACACAAUGCAUACCAUCAGUUUUCUUUGGCGACGAGCAGUGUGACGAGUUUGUGUCAGUACUCUCUUCGUUUUCUUCGGCGUCAGCAGACAAAAUGAAUUCAUUGUCUAGCAAACGAAGCGUAUAUGCAAGAAGUUAAGAAACAAAAAGAAGAAAACUUCGAUGACUAAAAUUAAGCCAAGAAACCAGAAUACCUGGAUUGUUGAGUGGACAUAAUUCCUUUCCUUCGUCAUCGCAUGCGCUCGUGUUAUCGUCGGCUUCGACACUACCGGAUGAAGUUUUAUCGAGAAUAACUUCGGCAGGUUCGUCUUCAGGCUUAUUACAGAUAGCAGCGACAGAUUCUUCAUCAUUUCGCCCGUCAACAACUUGGUCUGCACUUCCGUCAGAAGCAGUAGCAGAUGAAUUAUCUCCCUCAUCAAGUAGCCUUGAAAACAUGUCACUGACAGAAUUGAACCAUCUGCGCGGGGCCUAUCCAAUAGGAAAGUAGAGUGUUAGAAACGUAAAAACGAAUUGCCGAAUUAAGAAAAGAAUUUAAAGUGUGAAAAAUCCUAGUUCGUUAUGAAUGAAACAGCAAAGAGAAUCGAGAAAGAGAGAAGAAAAAUAAAGUACUCAUUGAAACAGAACCUGUCAUGAGAAUUAUGACAUACAUACCUGAAUAAUCUCAUUCAUGUUUAUCAAAUUCCGGCAAAAAUCUCCGAAUUCUUCAGAUUCAAUCUCCUCUAGAAAAUUAGGACGAUCGAGCAAAACCACCUCCGUAAGUUCCAUUGCCAUUAUGUUUUCGCAGCUUUAAACUGUAAUAAACUUUAGCUUAUAAGAAUGAAAAAUAUAAUGAAUAUCUACAUAGUAAACUGAACAUGGUCAAUAAGGCGACAAGACGCACAACUCUGUUAUGAGCCGCCUGACUUUAACGUAGCAAAUUUCUGACUAGUUCUGUCUAGCUCUGUCUGCGUCUUUCUGGCUCUGUUGUCGUCUCGGUUUGAUGUCGUCUCGUACUUUUCGGCUCUGAUAUUACUUGUUGGAAUCGGACUUGGUGAUGAUAUGAUACAGAUUGUAUAUCAAUAUUUUAUUAAUCAACUAGGCAUAGAACAAAAUUUAAAAGAUGAUAGUUUAUUUAAUCUUAAAGAUAAACUCGAAUCUAAUUCUAAUCAAAUUUUAAAUGUUGAGUUAAAUUCUAAUUAAAUUUGGAUUACACAAUUUGCCCUCUCAGUUAUGAAAAUUUUACUUAACAUGCAAAAGAAAUAUUACGAUUCAAUCAGUUGGCAUGUAUAUUGAUAAACCAUGGCCAUUGCAAUUUGUACGUUGCCUCGCACUACUAGUCCUGAAUUUUGAGUUAAGUUGAAACUUAGUCCUCAAAAAUUUUGAUUGAGAACUCCUCACACAUAACGAUAAUAUGAAUUCAUGCGGAGUUGAUAGUAUAUAUUGAUAGUUGUUUAAUUAAUAUUUACUAUCAACUUAGCUUGACUAUAUAACAGUACGUACAACCACCGUAUAGUAAACCAUAUCCAUCCAAAGGAUAAAGAAGAUGAUAACAAAUACUAUUUCUUUAUUAUUAAUAGUACUCUACUUUUUCUCUCUUUCCUGAUGAGAUCUCUUAAAAAUUCGAAGAUUUUCUUAUGAAACCCUAGAACUAUGAUUCAGAGUAUGAUUUUCUAUACAUCUUAGUAGUCGAAUUCUCAAUAUAAAACAAGAAUUCUGCAACGAAAGCGUUGAAUCGAAUUUUUAUCAUAAAUUCGUCUUCUCAGUAAAAAUUAAUACAAUCAUAAGAGGGAGAAAAUAACCAAAUAGAAAAUGUACGUAUAAAAUUUAUUAAAUAAGAAAAGAUUACACCUAUUGUAAGAGAGUAGCUACAACCUGAAUUCUCUUUUUGAAUCUCUCCUACUCUUCUCUCGUUUUCUAUAAAUUCACAAAAAGAUUUUUUUUUUUCUCUCUCACAUGCAUCCGUGCACUCGGUGCAAACAACCGGGCCUAGGCUUCUCCACGGUAUAGUCACCACCAUAAAUAGCUCUCUCUCAUCCGUACACCACUUAGGCACAUUUAUCCAUUUGCAUACAUGGAGCAUCUAUAUUUAGUUUAUCUCCGAUAGAUUUAAAUAUUUAUUCUAAUCUAGUUAAAUUUAUGCUCUAAUUAAUAUUUAAAUUUUAAUUUAUCUUCAAUAGAUUUAAAUAUUAAUUUUUAUCCAACUAGAAAAUCAACUACAAAUCUAACCAAAUCCUAACAAAAAGAAAAGCUUUAGUGAAAACAAACUUAUAUGAUCUUAAACCCUAGUGUUGCAUGAUUUCUCUUUAUUUCCUUUUUUUUUCACUACAACGAAAACAUUAGAAAAAAAAAAGAAAAAAGAAUCACAUAUCGCAAUUUAACUCCUUUUCUUGAAUCCAUGAUAAUCACAAAUUUCGAAUUAAUAUUUUAGAACACCGAAAUUGUUGAAAUACAACUACUAACACAAACAAACAAAAACAAAGAAGGAAGUGAAUUGCUUUAACAUAACUAAACAACCAAUACAAUCCUCUGAAUUUAAUUUUAAUUUUUUUGAGCAAAAAUCCAUCUUUCUCAUUACAGGAUCAUAAAUCAUGCAUAGAGUGGUUGUGCUUAAUACUAACCAAUUUCAAUAAAAAAAAUGCAAUAAAUAUAUAAUUUACACGAAAAAAAAAAAUUUAAGAAAACAACUAUUUAUAUAAAGAAAGAAGAAUAAAUAUUUAAAGCAAAAUAAAUAUAAAUACCGAAUUGAAAGUUUGAAGCCGAAGAAAAAUUUGCCGAAUUGCACGAGGGGAAUACAUAGAGAGAAUUUUUUUUGGGAGGGUAAAAAAUUAGAUUCUAAUUGAAAUUAUAUAGAACUAUUCAAAAUUUUAUCCAAGAUUGUUUUGUGUAAUCUUAUUUAAACUAAUCUUUUACCUUUAUUUUUUAUAUCUCUAUCUCAUAAUUUAUUAUUUUAAAAAAUUUAUCACUAAAAUUAAAUUUUGCCGUAAAUAAUUGUGACUUCCAAAAUAUAAUAAUUUUAUAUAAUUUAAUCUAAUUUUAAAUUAAAGUUUAGAUAGGACGGAGUAAUUUUAUAGCAGUUAAGAUUGUAAUAGAUCAUGAGAAAUUAUCAUUUUUUUUUGCUUGUCUUUUUUUGGAUUUUAUUUUUAUUUUCUUUUUGAGUUGUGGGGAUAUACGUUUUAAUAUUUUUCUGAAUCUAUAUUUAAAUUUCUUUAUUGAUAAGAUAUCGUGUGAAUAAAUUAAUCUAACUUUUUAUAAUUAAAUAAAUUAUAUAUAAAUAUGAUCUUACAUUCUUUAAAAAAUUAUAACUCGCGUACUGCUCUAUCAUGUUCUAGAAUUGAAGUUUAUUGGAUAACUUUAAAUCGGAUUUAGAUAAGAAUUAAAGAUUACAUACAAUAUUAUUUGAUUCAAUAUAAGAUAUAUCAAUCUCUGUCUCUGUAAAUAAAUAAAUAUAUAUAUAUAUAUAUACAUGCUAUCAAUAGCUUGAAUUAUGUGGUCUCUAGGGUUGAAUAGUUAUUGGUUGAAUAAUAUAAUUUAAUGGGUAAAAAUAGUUAAAGAGUUAAAUCUAACGGCGAAAAACUCGAUAGUACCAAACUAAUAAUAAAACUCUCUUUAUUACAGAUAAAACAACUCUCACAUAUAAAUUAUUCUAACUCACACACUCACUAAUAUAUUGACCUAAAAGACUACAAGCCUCACACACUCAUUAUUUCACUACACCUCACAACACACCACUCCCACCUUGCUUCACUCACUCACUUCAUCUCACACUUCAUUUCACGCUUCCUUGGUGUAGGAACCUCACACCUAUUUAUAGGCCCCAACCCACCAACUUGAGUAUUCAAGAAUUCUCUAUAACACUUAUUUCUAGAACUUUCUAAUUAAAAUACUCUAUUAGUAAAUAGAGAGUACUUGUUUCUAGAGUUUUCUAUAAUACUCCAUUAGCAAGUAGAGAAUUAGAAAAAAAAAGAGCAUUCUAGAGUGUUUAUUAAAGAAAGAGAGAGAGAGAGAGAGAGAGAGAGAGAGAGAGAGAGAGUUGUUUUUUUUUUUUUUUUUUUUUUUGAGAAAAAGGUAGCACGCUACCCGCUUCAUUUAUUGAAAUGAUGAAUUAGGCUACAUGGAUGAGGCAACCUAGGCCUCGAAGGGAGCGAAAAAAAAAAAAGAAAAGAAAAAAAGGGCAGACAAAACUUCGUUCCAAAACAUCGUCAGCUGCUUAAUCUUGUGGGCUGCAAGGAUGGCGUCUGGUAGCGUCUUCCUAAAGAUCACGUCAUUCCUAACCUUCCAAAUAAUUCACGAACAGACUACCAAUUUGGAUAAAAUUGUACUCGGCUUCUGUGAUCCCUUCCACGUCAUCCACUUAUUCCAGGUCGAGGUCACAUCAUCCCCCCUAUCUCCAAGCUCGGUGGUCUCCAAGCUCGUCACAUCAUCCCAGGUCGAGGCUACAUGUGAGAGAGUUGUUUCUUUCAUCUAUCCCUUGUACGUAGCUUAUCUUACAUUGUGACAAUUUAAUAUUGAUUAAAACCGUAAAAUAAAUACAAUCUUAAUCACUUGGGAAAACACAUGAUUAACUAAUCACGAUCAUGAUCAUUAUUUGUAGAUAUAUUCGUCAAAAAUAUGAGAAACAAUCCACAUAGAUGUGUACAUUAAUAGUUUUCCAUUUUUUUUCUUUUUUGCUUUUUUCGGUCAUUAAUUUUCUUCUCAAAAUGUGGGGUAAGAAGGAUACAUUGCAAGACCACACACCCCUUCUUUCGCUUCGACAUCUUUCUUAAAUCUUAUGUAACCAUUCUCGCCCCACGUCGCGCCCCACGAGUUCUUUGCUAUCCAAUAUUUUGUGCCCCUCUCAUCUUCUCCGUAACCGACAACGGUAACGUAGUGAUUCAUUGUAGUGUUACAAGGCCCGUCGAAGAUACCGCCACUGUAGUGUUGGAAGGGGCUCCCGCUGCCGUCGAUGUUAACCGAUACCGGUUGGUUAGCGACGGCUUUCAUGAGCAUGGUUUCGUCAUUCGAAGGCACGUAUUCGUAGCCGCCAAUGGAAGCCGCUUUAUUUUGCGACAGUUUUGUAAUGUUACAAUUGUCUUUAGCUCCAGUAAAAGGGUACUCGGCCUCCGAACUUACGCCGCCAAAGCGCGCGAUGAAGUCGAAGGUCUUGUCGACCCAGCCCCAGUUGCAUCCGUUAUCGGUGUAGUCGCAGUCGACGAGCUCUUGCUCUGAUAAAGAUAUCAGUUGUCCUGUUUUUAUUUGAACGAUCCCUUCAACAGCUGCAAUUGCAGAGAAUGCCCAGCACGAUCCUGUUUCAUGAAAUGGAGAAGAUCGUGUUGGUUGUACACCCACCAAUGCGUGCAUGAAUGGCUUUUGGAUAACUUCAAUCAGGCUUAGUUUGAUAUUGAGAUCAAUCUAACGCUACUAGAUAGAAUGUAAUAGAGAAAAAAUAAUAGGGAUAUACUUCUGCGAUCUACAAUGAGACCGCAGAAAAUAUAUCGUAACCGACUAAUCGCAAUAUGCGAAACGCAAUAUUACGUACGGAAAUAAGCGAUAUUUUUCUAUCGUCGUUUCUCACCGCACGUAACACAAUCUCCCCGCCUUCAAAAUAUUAUAGAUGCUUCUUCAAAAUCUAAAAUAUCAUCAAUGCCUCUCCAAACACAUAAACCUAUCAAAAAUACCAAUCUAAACAUAUAAGACCUCAAACCCUCAAUCUAACUUCUAAAUCAUUCUAUAUAAUAUAAUUUAUUAUAUGUAUAGAAGGUACACCCAUGAUAUUUUAUACUUUGAAAGAGCAUUUAUGAAAUUAUCAUUUUUGAGGAGGGCAUUGAAAAAAUUAACCAGCUUUUAUAUGAUGGGUACGCCUUUUUUUUUUCUUUUUCUUUUUAAUAACGAUAAUCUCCUCUUUCUAUUAAAAUAGGACAAGGAAUAAGCCCGGUGGGCUUGAACAGCUUGGCCAGGCAAAAACUAUCGAAAAAGUUGGGCUUAUGUUUUUUUUUUUUUUGUUUUAGGAUAAACAGGAAGCAAAUUGGGCCCACAAAACUAAUAAUUACAGCAAAAUCAGCUACGCAGUAUAAAUCAAUGUCACAUGAGUUUAACACAUUUUUAUUGUUUUAAUGUGAAUCAAAACUAAGAUUCGAACUUAAAACAUCGGAUAUCAAUUACCAAAUCCUUUGCCACUUGUGAUAGGAAAGGUCAGUAUAUUUGUAAAACUCUUGUUUAAUAUUCUUACCGCAGGAGCCUUGAUUCUUUACAUCGGUAACCGCACCUGUAAUCCUCCAAUCGAUGCUGGAGGGCAAAUCACUCACACGAGCAUAUUGAAAUUCCGUCAUCGAUCUUGGACCAUUCCGAGGGCGAGACCCUGUGUGGGUCGCCACAAACUCUUCGUUCGUCAUAUCAGCGAACUGGUUAAUGCCCAACUUAUAGUUAUACUUCCUCUCCAUGUUGAAGGAGUCAAUAUACCUGACAUUGUCGCUGAAAAUCUCAAACCUGCGCUGCUUCUCAUCCGCAUCUCCGUAAACUCGCCCAUGCUCCGCCGCCCAUUCUUCGUGUCUCUUCGCCAUCGACCAAUGCGGUUCACCGCGCGAGGCAGCGUGCUGAGGCCAAUGCAGAGCAACGGCUGAUAUGAUGAGAAUAAUGUAAUGAAAUGAAUAAGCCAUGAUUACAAUUAGCUAAUCAAAUGUUAUUUUGUAAGUUAUAAGAUCACUUAAUUAGAUGAUUGUACUCUCCUAUAUAUAUAGGCAUGCGAAAGUUGAGUUUACAAAGUAGAGCAAAAGAGUUUUAUCUAAGUUGGAUAGUAAUCUAAUAAUUGAACUAUUAAGAGAAUGUACUUGUAUCAUUCGCUGGAUAUUCUCUAAAAUGGUCGUUAAACUCAAUGUAUGAAACGUGACAUUCGACCUAGGAACUAUCAUACCUAUAAAAUGAGACUUGUUCCACACAAUUUUUUUUUUUUUCCUUCACUUUAAUAUUUUAGGGUUUUUGUUUAUUUACCUCUUACUAACUAUUCAAAUUUUUUAAUUUAAUUACCACUGCUAAGUACACCGACUCUAAAUCUCUUUACAACAUGACGUCUGUUCUCUGUUCAUUUUAUCUUAUCUUUUCUCUUUUUUUUUUUUUUUUUUUUUUGGUUUCUUUGAGGCCCUAGUAAACUCAUAGUUUGUAGCUAAAUUUGGUUUAAAAUUUAAAAAUUUUAAAAUUCAAUUUUCAAAGUUGAUAAUUCAAUAUUUUAAAUUAAAAUUUUAAAACUGAUGUAUUGAAAAGGUUUGGAACAGUUGGAGAGAUAAAUUUGUAAUUUUAUAUAACAUGCAAGAUAAUCUGUAAUCGGUAAUACGAGAUACCCACUCUCCCACUUAGUAAUAUUUUCGGAAUAAAUCUGCACCAUUUGUAAUGCUACAUAAUCGACCAGAUUAUAAACUGAAUGAACUAAAUACAGUAAUUCUAACAAAAUUGCAUGUAAUCCUGAUAGUAUAAUCUGAACCAAACACGUCCUUAAAAGAGAAUGUACUUAUAUCAUUUGUUGGAUAUUUUCUAAAAUGGUCGGUAAGCUCAAUGUAUGAAACAUCACAUUCGACCUAGGAACUAUCUAGGGGUGUAAUGUGGGUCGUGCCGGGCCAGCACGUCCCACAUUUUUUGUGCCAAUUGGGGUUAGGGGCUAGCCCGGCCCGGUCGGGCCCGGUUUCAAAUUCAAGCCAGGCCAUGACGGGCCGUAGCUACCAAAUCUCAGGCCCGGCAUGACCCAGGCUUGGGCUGUGUCGGGCCAAGCUGUGCUCCAGGCCGACCCCCUAAAAAGUUUUAUUUUUUAUUUUUUUAAAAAAUAUAUAAAAUUUAAAAUAUAAAAAAUAAUUAUUUCUAUUUAAAAUUUUAAAAUUUAUCAAAAUAAUUAUAAUAUAACAAAUAUUUAAAUUUUGUUAUCCUAUAUAUAUAUUAUAUAUAUAUAUUAUAUAUAUAUAUAUAUAAAUAUAUAUAUAUAUAUAUAUAUAUAAUCAAAUUUUAUUUUUUAAAAAAAAAAAAUUCAAGUGUUUCUGGUCUAGUGGAUCAAAAAUGUUUGGUCUAUUGGACGAAAAAACCUCCUUCCAAGGUCUGCUCACAGCAGACCUUGUGAGCAGACCUUGGGAGGAGAUCUGCCCUUCUCCUCAGGGGAUCCACCAACCCCAAGGCCCUUCUCCCCUUGGGUCGGGCGGUGCUGGCCCGGCUGGCAUGGGCCGUGCCGUGCUGGGCUCUCCUCGGCCCGGCACGGCCCAGGCCCGUUACGGGCCAUGCCGAGCCGAACCGUCGGUCCCAAGAGGAGAGGCCCAGUACGGCCCUUAAACUCUGUCCGAGCCGGGCCGGAACGGAUGCUACGGCACCCGUGCCGUGCUCCAGCCUGCCCAAGACCAUGCCGGGCCGGGCGGCCCACAGGCCACCCGGCUGCCCGGCCCGUUCUACCCCCCUAAAACUAUCACAUCCAUAAAAUGAGACUUAGAAUUAGCUCUGAUGACCCAUAACCUCUUAGAGUGAGAGAGAUUAAAAAUUAAUUUUAAUAUCAUACUAAAUUCAAAAAAUCAAUCUGAUGAGAAACAGGUCAAAAGAUUCAUUUAACAUAAACAAAAAUUGAAAAAGAAUAAAAUGAAUAUUGGAACUUAAGACUGAGUCUUUGAUCAUCUUGACCAUAAUCUUUGUAUAUACCUUAAAUGAAUGUUUGAUUCACAGUGAUCGAUCGGUGGUUAGAUUGUCACUGAACACAUCAAAAUAUUCAUGACAUGUAAAACCGAUAAUGUAUAAAAGUACAGGAAAAAGAAUACUAUCUAGGGUUUGUGUAUGCAGAAAAAUUAGUUAACAAACCAACAGUUAGUUCUAUUUGGAAACUUCGCAGAGCUUCGUCGGAAUAUUUGAUUAUAUUUUUUGCUUUGGUAAUAAGUGAUAUUUUAUAGUUGUUAGUGUGACAUAAGAUGGAAUCAAGAACUUGGGAGUUAAAGAGUUUAUUUGUGUAGGUUGCUGAGUGUGAUGGAAAUAGAAGGCUUCUCAAGUCACAAGAAAGAUAAUAUGAGUUUUUGAACAUUUCAGUUGUGAUCUGUAGUAAUUAACCGAUAUAUAUCAUCAUAAUAGGGGGGAAAAAAAAGACUAUACAUGGUAAUAAAGAACAUUUGAAAUAAAUUAGUUUUGGCCUUGUUUUGAUAUACAUAUAUACAGUAUAUAUUUAUGUAUAGAAUUGAGCUCCUAUGCUUUUAAAAGUAUCAACUUAUUGAUACUUAAAGAUUUUCGACCAUUGAAUUAAAAGAUGUACUGUUAGGAUGAUAGUAGUCCCCUAAAAUUAAGUGGGUAGUUGGUUGAAUAGUACGAUUUAACAGAUAAAAAUGGUCAAAUGGAUAGAUCUAACGGCGGAAAACUUACAAGUACUAAAUGCUUGAUGCUUUUAAAAGUAUCAUAGCCAGACUCACUCUCUCUCUCUCUCUCUCUCUCUCUUUAGAUGCUUUUGACUUUUUAACUUUUUAGCCCUUAGAUUACGUACUGUACGAUUAGAUGAUAGUGGUCCUUCUAAAAUUUAGUAGUCCUCCAAAAAAAUAAUGCUAAUCUAAUAAUUAGAAAUUAUCAAAUGGGUUAAUUAAUUAAAGGGUUAAAAAUUUAAAGCACCAAUUCUUUUAUACUUUCGAAAGUAUCCUAGUCGGGCUAUAUAUAUAUAUAUAUAUGAAUUGAGCUAGAAUACUUUUACAAGUAUUACCCCCAUGAUGUUAUUAGGUUUUUAGCCAUUGGAUCUACUUCUUAAUUAUUAAUAGCUCUUGGAUCAAACACUAUUCCACCUACCACCACCUACCACCAUCAUCUCAACCUCACAUCUCUCCAUCCAAUGGCUAAAAACUCAAAAGCACCGCUCACAUAAUACUUUUACAUGUAUUCUAGCUCAACUCUCUCCCUCUCUCUCUCUCUCUCUCUCUAUAUAUAUAUAUACUUAAUAAAUAUUAAUAUAUAGUAAAAUAUUAAAAUUUUAAAAAAUAAAAAAAAGGGUUGACCUCGAUCGGCUUGUUGUUUGUUCAAGUUAUAUUAUUAAAGUACUUCCUUUAAUUUUGACAUUUAUCAUCAUAUUCAAUAUGCAAUAAUAUAUAAUAUCUAUCUUAUUUAAAAAGUAUACUAUUUGUAAAUUAAUUUAAUAAUAUAACCCAAUUAUUCUCAUGAAUAAAAUAGGGAAAUGAUAUAAUCCUACAUACUUUAAAAAAUUCAAUUAUAAAAUCAUAAUUCCCAAAAAAUAAUCUUUUGUAGGAAUUUUAGAUUCCACUAACCAUAACCACUCAAAUAUUUAAAAAAAAAAAACAUAAAAUUAAGAGAGUGUCAGCAAAUAAAAAUAAUAAUAAUAAACUUACCAAUUAAUCAUCAAGCUCUUCGCCAACUAUGUUAGAUACGGUUCGCAUAGAGCUCCACUUUUUAUAUAAUUGUUCCUGAGGUAUUACGCAAUUUCUUUCUUGGUUAAUGGUACAAAUAUGCUUCGACUUAAUUUGUUCAUAAUUUUGAAGCUGAGCCUUUUUCAAUUUUUAUCUCCGGUAAUAUGAAGAUUAAUGCUAGUAUGUUUAGAAUUAGCUCUAAUGACCCAUAACCUCUUAGAGUGAAAGAGAUUAAAAAUUAAUUUUAAUAUCAUACUAAAUUCAAAAAAUCAAUCUGAUGAGAAACAGGUCAAAAGAUUCAUUUAACAUAAACAAAAAUUGAAAAAGAAUAAAAUGAAUAUUGGAACUUAAGACUGAGUCUUUGAUCAUCUUGACCAUAAUCUUUGUAUAUAUCUUAAAUGAAUGUUUGAUUCACAGUGAUCGAUUGGUGGUUAGAUUGUCACUGAACACAUCAAAAUAUUCAUGACAUGUAGAACCGAUAAUGUAUAAAAGUACAGGAAAAAGAAUACUAUCUAGGGUUUGUGUAUGCAGAAAAAUUAGUUAACAAACCAACAGUUAGUUCUAUUUGGAAACUUCGCAGAAGCUUCGUCGGAAUAUUUGAUUAUAUUUUUUGCUUUGGUAAUAAGUGAUAUUUUAUAGUUGUUAGUGUGACAUAAGAUGGAAUCAAGAACUUGGGAGUUAAAGAGUUUAUUUGUGUAGGUUGCUGAGUGUGAUGGAAAUAGAAGGCUUCUCAAGUCACAAGAAAGAUAAUAUGAGUUUUUGAACAUUUCAGUUGUGAUCUGUAGUAAUUAACCGAUAUAUAUCAUCAUAAUAGGGGGGAAAAAAAAGACUAUACAUGGUAAUAAAGAACAUUUGAAAUAAAUUAGUUUUGGCCUUAUUUUGAUAUACAUAUAUACAGUAUAUAUUUAUGUAUAGAAUUGAGCUCCUAUGUUUUUAAAAGUAUCAACUCAUUGAUGCUUAUAGAUUUUCGACCCUUGAAUUAAAGGAUGUACUGUUAGGAUGAUAGUAGUCCCCUAAAGUUAAGUGGGUAGUUGGUAGAAUAGUACGAUUUAACAGAUAAAAAUGGUCAAAUGAAUAGAUCUAACGGCGAAAAACUUACAAGUACUAAAUGCUUGAUGCUUUUAAAAGUAUCAUAGCCAACCUCUCUCUCUCUCUCUCUCUCUCUCUCUCUAGAUGCUUUUGACUUUUUAACUUUUUAGCUCUUAGAUUAAGUACUGUAUGGUUAGAUGAUAGUGGUCUUUCUAGAAUUUAGUAGUCCUCCAAAAAACUAAUAUUAAUCUAAUAAUUUGAAAUUAUCAAAUGGGUUAAUUAAAGGGUUAAAAUUUUAAAAGCACCAAUUCUUUUAUACUUUCGAAAGUAUUCUAGUCAGGCUAUAUAUAUAUGAAUUGAGCUAAAAUACUUUUACAAGUAUUACCCCCAUGAUGCUGUUAGGUUUUUAGCCAUUGGAUCUACUCCUUGAUUACUAAUAGCCCUUGGAUCAAACACUAUUCCACCUACCAUCACCUACCACCAUCAUCUCAACCUCACAUCUCUCCAUCAAAUAGCUAAAAACUCAAAAGCACCACUCACAUAAUACUUUUACAAGUAUUCUAUCUCAACUCUAUAUAUAUAUAUAUAUAUAUAUAUAUAUAUAUAUAUAUAUAUAUAUUGUGAGAGAGAUAGGUAGCAUGCUAACUGUUUCGUUUAUUUCAUUUAGAAAUAAAUUUAGCUGGAAAUAUGAAUCAACUAGGAUUCGAACUUGAGUCUCGGAUUCCAGCCACCAAACCCUUUGUCACUUGCUCUAGAGACGGUCGAUGAGCUCCUAUAUAUUUUAAAACACCAAAUUAUUGUUGCUUAUAGGUUUUGGCUUUUGAAUGAAAAUUUAUAGAGGUAGGAUACAUAAUAGAUAGACACCUUUUCUCAAAAAAAAAAAAAAGAGAGAUAGACACACACUCUCUCUCUAUAUAUAUUUUUAAUUUUAAAAACUAAUAAAAUAUAUAUAUAGAGAGAGAGUGUGUUUAAUUUUAAAAACUAAUAACCGACCGUCCCUAAAGCAAGUGGCAAAGAAUUUUAUGGUUGGUACCCGAGACCCGAGUUCGAAUCCUAGUUGAUUCAUAUUUUCAGCAAAGUUUAUUUUUAAAUGAAAUAAACGAAGCGGGUAGCGUGUUACCUAUCUCUCAAAAAAAAAAAUAAAAAAUAAAAACUAAUAUUCAAUAAAAUAUUUUAAUGCGUCGUUUUCCUACGAAUCCAAUCACAAAAAAAAUGAGUUCAAGAGGGGGAGAAAAAAAGUGAGUGGAAUCUAAUUAAGGAGCCCAACUCCCCCAAUUCUAUUGAAAAUAAAUAAAUAAACAAAAUAAAAUUUUCAAUAAGCAAUAGAUGCGUACAUACACAGUGAACUAAUUAAAUAUUGGGAAAUACAACUCGUCGAAUUUCAUGUUACACGAAAUUUAUGUAUAGUGACUUCCUGGCACGACAAUUAAAGCACUCUUUGUAGAGAUCGAAGAAGCCAAAAAUUGCAACUUUUAUUCGUCGAUUUGUGCCUUUUGGAUCACACAAAAUUGCUGGUCGAAGAAGCCAAAAUUUAUAUCUUUGAUAAAAAUUUGCUUUUUGAUUAAUUCCCCUUACAUGAGGGCCCAAAUUGUGAAAUUGAAAUGCCCCAUGAAAGCGAAGUUAUUUGAUGAUAAUAAAUGUAAAUGUAUUUGGCCAUAGAAAAGCCAUGUGAGUGAGUAAGGGGUGUUUGGCCUAGCUUUAAUUUAAAAAGCGCUUUUGGGUUGAAAAGUAAUUUUCUGCUCAAUAGAGUGUUUGGCAACUCAUUUUUAAAAUCUGAUUCUGUUUUUUAAAAUCAGAAAAGUAAUUUUGAAGGCCACAGAAUCAAAAGCAGAAAAAAGUUUCUUCUUGAAAUCUGAUUUAAAUUUUGAAUUUAAACUUCAAAUUUUUAUUUUUAUUUUAAUUUCAAUAUUUAAAUUUAACUGGUUGGGGUCAUAACUUUUCUCCAUGUUCAAGUCAAUCCUUUUUGGUUCCUCUAAAGCAUUAUUUUACUCCAACAGCAACGCUAUUACUAACAAACUGGGCUUUAUUUGCAUUUGGCCCUCUCAAUUUUUUUUAAUAUAAAUAGCCUUAUUAAAUUUAUAAUUAUAUUUUAAUUCUAUCCUUACCACGCAGACGUCACAUUAGCGCCACGUAAGUGCGUUGAGGCGUUAAGUUAAAUACAUUAAACCAUUCACCAUGUUCAAACACGGUGAAAGGUUGAUCGUGUUCCAUACUUACCUUUUGUCCUAUUUAAUAUUUAUAUUUUUUCACAAUACAUUUCGCAAUACAUAUAUCUUUUCUUUCCCUAGAUACGGUGAAUCAUUCACCGUAUUUAGAUACAGUGAAUGAAUUACCAUGUUCAUCUUAUUUUCUUACUCACGUGAUGCUUGCAUGGUGCCUGCGUGGCGGGGACAAGAUCAAAAUUAUAAUUAUAAAUUUAGUGAGAUUAUUUGUAAAAAUAUUUUUUUUUGAGAGGACUAAAUUGCAAAAAAAAAUCCUAACAAACUUUUUUAUGCACUUUUUACAAACAAGCUUAACUGGCUGCAUUUUAUUGAUGAAUGUUCAUAAAAUCACAAAACUAAGCAAUAAAUCCUAUAACAAGUCAAAUUGGAUUAUGUCUUUGUAAAAAUUUGUAAGAUGUUUAUAAGCGUAACAUUAUCCAAAAGCAGCAUUUUUAUUGUGAAAUUUUUUUUUUUCAUGUUAUGUUAUCUUUUUUAAUUACUUUAGAUCAAACAAGAUGAACUGAUCGUGAUUGAUAUGAUUCAUCAGUAGUACUAAGUUUUUUAAUUUUUGAUCUUAAAUUUUGAUAGUGAUUGAUCGCUUCAUCAUAAUAUCUUAUCAAAAGUAAAUAUAAACAAACAUAACAUUAAUUAUUCUGUAUUUAUGGCUCAAUAAACUAAUACAAUCACUUUUAAUAGGUUUUUUGUUUUUUGGCUCCUUAACACGUCAUUUCUUUGAAUAAUGAGUUGCUUGCAUAAGGUCACACGUAACACUUGCCCGUACAUAUUAUUAAUUUGAUAAGAUAGUUUUCUUGAGGCAAUUAUUCUAUAAAAAGGACCAUUUUGUAAUGUUUUAAAAAUAUGAUUAAAUAGUGAUUUGAAACUAUUACUAAGUUAACAGUCUCUAAUUCCAUUUAAAGUAAACCAACAACGGGUUUGAAUCAGUACUAUCAGCAUGAUAUUAUAAAUAUUUAAUUAUUAUUUUAAUUUAAUUAUAUAUAUACUAUUAUUCACGUGACAUACUUAAUUAUAAAAUACUAAUUUUCAGGUCAAAUUAAAUGAAUUAAAGUUUUCAUUUUUUUUUUAUAAAAUUAAUAUAAAUAAAAUUAGCUAACUUAAUUUUAAGCCGUUGAAAUGUGACUUGAUUAAAAAAAAAAAAAUCUGGCCGGGUUUAAUUAAAAUCGUACCUGUUCACUAGUUUGAUGGUUGAUCCAUUAAUUGGUUCGAACUGUUUAAAAUAAUUUUUUAACAUAUUCCAUCCAGAGAGUAUAACCUGAACUGCUUCAUAGAUUGAAUCACCGUCGGUUAGAUUGAAUCACGGUCAGAUCAGGCAAACCAACGUGUUCAGCCCGAUUUUUAAAUCAUUAUUAUUUUGUGGUUUAGCAUGGAAUUCCAACUAUGGGUAUGAACAGUCACUUAUAAAUUCAAAGAAAUUAACUUGUCCAAAAAGUAUGCAAAAUUUGAUAUAUUGGACUACCUAACUACCUAACUUCCUCAAAAGUGUGUGUUCAUAUAUAUAUAUAUAUAUAUAAGAGAAGAGAAGAGAAGAGAGAGAGAGAGAGAAUUAGGCUGAAUAAGUUAAUAAGUAAAACGCUAUUUUCUAUCAAGUUUUAACCCCUGGAUGAAAAAUUAUAGAAUAUGAGAUAAUUAGUCAGUUAAGUAGUGGUCUCCACUCGGUAUAGUAUUUAAUCCAAUGUUAGAAAAUAAAUAAAAAAAGAGAUUGACUCAAGAGCUAAAAAACUAUAGCAACAAUGGGAUUUGCUACUAAUAGUAGCCGCAGUUCAUCUAAUAAUAUAUAAUAUAUUAUAAAUAUAUAGAGAGAGAGAAGAGAGAAGAGAGAGAGAGAGAGAGGAGAGAUGAGAGAGAGAGAUCGGCUAAAUGCUAGGGAAGCACGGAGGCUCCGUGCUUCCACUUGUUUCGAGUCGGACUCAUGCGACGAUCGGCGCUCGUAGAACUUGAAUCUAGAUAACUUGAAAGUAUGCUCAAAAUAAAUUCGGGAUUUUUCCGAUAUUAUUGCCUAAGGAACGAAGUGGCUCAAAAUCAACGGCUGAAAAUAAAAAUCUUACAAAAUAUGAUGAUAUGACAUUAAAAUUUUAGAUCAAAGUUAUUGAUCUUGUUUUAUAUGGUAUAAAGAAUUUUCUAUCAAAAUUUCAUGUGAUUUGAAUAUUUCUACACCGUUAAACUUGCAACCGGCUCACCACGGCUAUUAAAAUUAUUGAUUUUGAACCCCUUCGAUCACUAGGCAAAUGAUAUUGAAAAAUCACAAAAUUUAUUUUCUAGGUACUUCAAAUACUCUAGAUCAACUCUAACGGAGCCGAUCGUUGAUUGGAAAGUCCGAACAUCAAAAACAACUUGGAAGCACAGAGGGCUCCAUACUUCCAUAAGCAUACCAGUCCACUCUAUAUAUAUAUAUAUAUAUAUAUGUAGUCCGAUAAUGAUGUUUUUGAAAAUAUAAAAGAGUUGGUACUUCCAAAUCUUAGAUCAAUCUUUUAAUCAUUUCUAAUCCUUAGAUUAAUAUUAUUCCUAUAGGGGGACUACUAAAUCUUAGGAGGACCACUCGACCUUAGGGGAGAUCGCCAUCAUCCCAACCGUAUAGUUCUUGAUCUAAGGGCUAAAAACCAGAAACGUUAACUCCUUUAUUACUUCUAAAAGUAUAGUAGCUCUGCACUUAUAUAUAGUACUAAACGCUUUGUGCUAUUGAUAGUAUAAUAACCGGAUUCAUAUAUGGUAGGGCUACUAUGCUAUUGGAAGCAUAAAGAAUCUGGUGCUUCUGACUUUUUGACCCUUAGAUCAGUCACUUUAAUAAUUUCUAACCUUUGGAUUAAUAUUAUUACCAUGUCGGGACCACUCAUCCCUAGGAGUACUACUCAAUUAUAAGGGGAACUACAAUCAUUCCAACCAUACAAUUCUUGAUCUGAGGGUCAAAAUCGAAAGCAUCAAAUCUUUUAUACUUCCGAUAGUACGGUAGUUCUACACUAUAUGAGUUAAACUAGCAAGCUAUCAGUAACAAAGAGACUCUAUUGCCACCUAUUUAUUUCGAUGAUAGAGCCCCUAAAUCGAUGAUUGACAUCAUGAAACAUGAUCUAUACCACUUGAAAUAUUUUGAAACCAAACUUUAUGUUUUUUUUUUAUAUUGUUUUCUUGUACGGCUGAAAAUGAAUGUCUUUUAAAAAAUGAUGAUAGAAGUCUUGUAAUCAAGAUUGAAAGUAUACAUUUUACUCUUCCUUAGAUGAUGAAUAAAACUGCUACGAUCGAAACUUUCAUUUUAUUUUGUUGAUGCACCUUUUAGGUAAAGUCAUUGUAUUAUUACACUUUGAUAAGCAUCCUCAAUUAGAACUGCAACCAGAUAGAAAAGGACAAUUAUUUUUCAAAAAAUAGAAAAGGACAAUUAUUUUUCACUAUUGUAUAUAUAUUUUUUUCUUUUUAACUUAUUAAGCUACAUGGUUUUUGAAUUUAAACCACCUUAUGCGACACAAUCUAAUGAUUGGUGAUUGCAUGGCAAUAAAUGAUUGGUGAUUGCAUGGCAGGUGGGUCCCCCAAAACCAUGCCCACGCAAUAGAGGUUUACCUCAUCCCAUGGCCACUUGGCCACACCAAGAAUUGUUUAUCUAUCUAUUGAUGAUCUUUUCUUUGUUAUUUGUAGUGUAUGAUUAUGACUCUCUCUUGACACUAUUUAAAAAAGCAUGCACAUGUGUCAUAUUUGAAAUUGUCUUGUAUUGAAUCAAUUUUUUUUUUUCAAAUAAUAUGAUAUUAGAAUUAGUUCUAUAAUUUCUCUAUUUAAAAAGUUUGAAAUUUACUUCUAGCAUUCACCAUUUAGUGACACAAACUUUUAUUAUCUUAUUAUUCUUCGCAUUCUACAUAAAUAAAGUGUUAAAAUAAUUUCUAAACUCUUCCCAUUUGAUUGAUUUUUAGUAACAAAUUAAAUCCAUGAGUAUAUUGCCAAAUAAAUGUAGCCUAUAGUUAAUUGUGUUGAGAAGUGAAAAAAUUGGUACUUAGAUGGGUUGGUGAAUAUUAGAUAUAUAAGAGCAAUAUACGUACCUAUUAUAUAUAGAUAAAUGGUUGAAAGUGGAAGUCCAACAAAAGAACAAAUAAAAUCGAAUCUUAUUCUUUAAAUAAUCUUUUAAGUAGCAUUCAAUAACAGGUCAAUAAAUGCUGCUUGUUGGCUCCAAAGUUAGGUCAUCUCCAUUAAACAUCAUCCUAUGCAUUAUUAUAAUGGAAAUUUUAUCAGUAUAUUUAAAAAUAUGUGUAAACUCUAUAUCCUAUUCAUCAUUGGAUGAUGGAUAUUUUUUUACUAGUUUUAUUAAAUUUUUUUAAUAUUAAAAAGUUAAAAGAUUUAAACUUUUGAAGGGGUGAGUUUUAAGAUUUACAUCCUAUGUUUUGAAAUGAGCAAAACUAGUACUUCAUUUAAAAGUGAAUGUAAAUCAUAUAGCUCACUCAUUCAAAGAUCAAUGUAUAUUUACUAGUCACAUCAUAUAAAAUAUAUAAUUUUGUUUGGAGUGGAUCGUCGUAUAUUUUAUUUGGAUUAAUUUUAUACAGAUCCCUAUACAUAUAGAGAAUUAUAAAUACAUUCCUACAAAGUUCAACUUUCAUAUAUUGUUCCUGCAAAAAUCCUGAUGUUUAUAAAUAUGUCUCUGCCGUUAGGAUCCGUUAGAAAAAUUAAUUAACCAUAGAUACAAAACUUAAUCCUAAUUAGUUAAUAAGAUGAAUUGACAUUUUUACUCCUCUUCAAUUAAUAGUUGAAAUUUUUGAAGGAUCAUAUUUGUGAUAGCAAAAAUGUCAAUUCACUUAUAAAAUAAACAGUACUUUAGAGAGAUAUAUUUGAAAAUAUUAUGAUCUUAAUAGAAACAACAUACGAAAGUGAAACUUUAUAGGAAUAUAUUUAUUAUUCACUAUGUUUGUAGGAAUCUGUAUAAAAUUAACCUUUUUUAUUUUAAUGAGAAAAGGCGGCUUUUGAUAGCCAAAAUGAUGAUGACGAUGAUAAGGGUAAUCUAGUUUAUUGGAGGCUUGAACCAAGGAAGAGAGUUAAAAAUGGCCAUAUCAAAUGCCUGGGGCUAAAUGGUAUUGGUACCAAUUAAGCUUGUCCUUUGCCUUUAAAUGGCUCCUAGUUUGGAGUUCCCAAAAGGCAUGAAACACGACCAGCUAACACGCGAACACGAAUAUGCAUGAUUCAAAAUUACUUAGAGAAAUUCAGAAUUAAGUCAAAUUAAAUAAUUUUACUAUAUGACUCGUGUUUUGGCAAUUGAUUGUACGAUAAUUUAAUAAUUAAAUGCCACAUCGUUGUCACAUUAACGAUAUAUUAUUAUUCAAUAAAUUAAAUUUAAUUAUAAUAAUUUAAAAAUUAAAAUUAUAGAUUAUAAAAUAUUAAAACUUUUAGAUGAUUAAGAACAAAUGUAGAUGAUUCACAGUCCAAAACCCCAUUUGUCUCAAAUAAAAUUGGAAAGUUUUUCGCCAAUCCAAAAAGAAGAAGUGUAAUGAAUUUUUUUUUUUUUUUUUUUUGAGAGAGAAAAGUAGCAUGUUAUCCGUUUAUUUCGAAAAAUGUGAAGUAACUAAAUUUCGAAUUUGAAAUCUCAAAUACCAAUCAUUAAGAUUUUUUAACACUUGCAUUAGGGACCGUAGAUUAAAAAAAUAUAAUUACUUAUAUACCUCUCAAAAUUUCGGAAAUAUUUCAUUUAUUUCUACUUUUUUUUUCUUUUCAAUAUACUCCUUAUAUUAUUCUGUUAUUCUAAAAUAUCCCUACAGUUAUCACACAUUAAGUUAAAUUGGAUUAAACGUGAGUUAAAUAUCUACCAUAGUUAAAAAAAAUAAAAAUGUCACUUUUGCUCUUAACUUAAAGGCAAAUAAAAAAUAUUGGUGAUUAUAGAAAGGCAUAUUUGAAAAGAUCAAAAAGUAAAAUAUUUUUUUUGCUCCUAACUUAAGGGCAAAUAAGAACAAUCGGUGCUGAUAGAAUGGUAUAUUUGAAAGGGCAAAAUAAUAAUUUAAUAGAAAUAAUAAAAUUAGAAACGUAAAAAAAAUAUUUUUAAUAUUANAAAAAAAAAAAUUGUGAUGUCAAUCUAAAGAAACAUAUGAUAGUAUAAUAAGACUUGGUUCUUCUUUACAAUAUUUUAUUCAUCAAACUUCCCCAUAAAAGCUGUUGAGAGUUGAGACUUGAGACUCAAUUCCUCCUCCCUCUCUCUCUCUCUCUCUCUCCCUCUCUCUCUCUCUCUCUCUCUCUCUCUCUCUCUAUCUCUCUAACAAAGUUUCCCCCUUACUUUCCAACACAAUACCCAAAACUACAACACACAAAACAAAAAGCAAAAUUAGGAUAAUUGAGAUAGUAGGAGAUGAUUACGUUCAAUAAAGAGAUCAGGUUCAAGAUGAAACUNCCCCCCCCUCCGUUCAAAACCCUCCACCCCACCUCUCUUUUUCCUCGUGAUGGAAACAGUUGAGUGCUGUACAAGGAUCAGCAGAGAUGCGUUCGAAGUAGGCGCGCAUCGGAGGAACCUCCGCCGCCCCAAACUCCGCUUCUGGUUUUGCCCUCCGAAUCGGCCUCCCGGUUCAUAGCUCCCUAAUUUCUCUUCUUUCUUCCUCUUCUUCUUCUUCUUCUUCUUCUCCUCGAGCUUAAAUUCGAAGUCUAGGGUUUGUCAUGGGCACGGUUCCUGUGGGUGUAGGGGGGGUGAGGGUUACGGAGAGCUCGUCGGCGUCGCUGGUGGUGGAUGACGGGGAGAGGGUGGGGAAGAAGGGGGGAGUUGGGCGGGGAGCGCCGGAGGCGAAGACGGCGAUGGCGUUGAAGAACCACAGCGAGGCGGAGAGGCGGCGGAGGGAGCGCAUCAAUUCGCACCUCGCCACGCUCCGGACCAUGGUGCCUUGCUCCGACAAGGUUGAUCCUCCUUCUUCUUCUUCUUCUUCUUCACCUUUCUAUUUACUUUAACUCUUUUGAGUGAACAAUCAAUUUGUUUCAAUCAACCAUCCCGUACUAACUUCCGUGGAUUGUUGAUUUCGGUAACAAAAAUUAGUACGUGAGUGUCACAAGACUCUUGAAUAUCAGAUGACCUCUCUGAUGAUUGAUGGUUCGAAGAAAGAAUAGUCUAAAUAACAGAUAGAAAACUGUUCUGUGUAGGCUAAUUCUUCCGUUUUUAAGAUUCGGUUGAUCAUAUCUUGUUGGGACGAGUUUUGAGCGCCCGGUACAUUUUUCCUUGAAAAGACUAGUAUCUUUGGAUUCUUGUCAUCGUUGGUUGCGUGUGAAUAUAUAAUUUUGAGCAAUACUAAUUGAUUGUUCGCUUCGAACAGGCUACCCUUAUUUAGCCUAUCUCUUUGAUUUACUCGAGAAGCUUGCGGUAUUUUGAUAGCUGAGCUGUGUGAUCAGAUGUCUAGAAUGAAGUAUCAUAUUCAGCCUUCAAAUCCUUUUUUUCACCUCAAAGGUGAAAUAUGCUACUCUAUCAAAUUAUAGAUGUUAAGAUCUUUCGAGGAGUAAAAAUUAAACACCUUACUUCCAAUCACACGAAAAGAUCCUCAUAUGUUCGGACAUCCAAACUGAGCCUAAAUGUCUCUGUGCGUUCCCUGUAAUUGCAAUUCUUGUGUAUUGUUCUUAAAAGUUGGCCUUAAGCCGUAACUGCAAUUCCUUUCUUAGUUGUCCUUGCAUCUGCGCAAUAGUUAAGAUCUUAUUGAUAUCUAUAAGUGAGAUAGAUUUUAUUGAAAAACUUAUGGAUAAUUCCGGUUCUAUGGUCAGUUUGGGAGAGCUAACUUUUUUUUGGGUCAAUUGAUAACUCUUGCUGCUCAGUUGUUGCUACUUCUUCCUCAGUGAGACAAACAAUGGUUUCCUUAGUGCUCCUAAACUUGGUUAUAGUUGUACUUAAAAUUGACUACCUCUCUCCUGCUUUGCUACUUAUUUCAUUUGUUAUCUUGUUUGUAUACUGUAUCUUGUAUUCUUAUUCUCAGCUGAAAAGCAGUAAAAAUUGUUGUUGUUACUUGCAGAUGCAAUUCACUAGAUAAAAGGCUGUCAGUGGCUUUUGCUGUCAUGAUGUUAGUAUAUUCCAUAUGAAAUAGCUAGUUGUUAUUACUUUCCCUUUUAAGAUACCUGACUUAGAUGAGAGCAACCUUCAUAAAACUUUGUCGGUUAGAUUAUUGCUGCUAGUUGUGAGAUAGUCUUUUCUUUUGGUUUUCUUAUCAUAUCUCCUGCCGAACAAUACUUUACACGUGAUUUAUUUAUUUAUACCUCGAGCUUCCUGCCUUAGUAGGUAUUUGAACUUCAAAAUGCUUGCCUAGAAAGAUGAACUUGGAUUACCAACUGUUUUUGUGCUUCUUUUAAUCCUCUCAUGGCAGGAUAUAAAUAAGUGUUUAGAUUAAUUCCUUCUUCUCUUUCGUGCUCUUUUAUAUUGUGCUUAAGUUUUCAUGUAUUACCCUUGCAUUCUCUGCAAUGCGGCAUAACUUCACAUCUGAAUUCAUGUGUGACUUGGGAAAUGACUAUUCUAAAACUAUUGCCUGAGUACUGCACAUUCUUUUCUUUUUUUUUAAUCUACAGGGAUUGCUUUUUAAGUUAUAUUAAGUGGUUUCUUUCCCUAACUUCUGUUCUCCACUUAAUUUGCAUAAUCUGGCUUUCACAUUAAGGUCAAAUACCUGUUUCUUAUACAUACAUCUGAGAGCAGUGAAACUGUGAUGAUUCAUGUUAUAAGAAUUACUAUCCUAUAUCUAAUCAUUUGUUUUCGAUUCCACUUUUUUAUUUAAUUCAGCAACCAAUUCUUUCUUAUCAUAUUUCUUUUUUCCCUAUAUGCUAAUACUAGCGUCUUAAUUUUUGAAUUUGCGGGAAAUAAAUUUGUUUUGCUUCCACUCUGUGAAACUAAAUUUUUUGUUGUGUUUCUUCUAAUUAAAUGAAACUUCAUAGCAUGUAGUAAGAAGGGAAAGAAAAAAGAAAAACUGAACUGAUAAUGUUUUCACUUGCAGAUGGACAAAGCUGCGAUACUCGCUCAAGUAAUCAAUCACGUGAAGGAACUAAAGAGCAAAGCAGUAGAAAUCAGCAAAGGCUACAAUAUCCCCUCCGACACAGACGAAGUGCGAGUUGAAGCUGAAGCCAAUGCAGUAAACAGCGGGAGCUUCUAUAUCAGGGCAACACUUUGUUGCGAGGACCGCCCCGAACUCUUUGCCGAGUUAAGACAAACAUUAGAUACUUUACAGCUAAAGCUAAUCAGGGCAGAGAUUUCUACUUUGAGCGGUCGAGUCAAAAACAUACUAAUAAUGAGGUGUGAUGAUAAUGCCAACGACAUUGACAGGCACAUCUACACGGCCUCCGUUCACCAGGCCCUAAAGUCCGUUCUUGAUAGGGUUAAUUCAACAGUUGACUUUUAUCCACGGGCAAAGAGGCGAAGGAUCUCAAUGUUUGAAUCUUCAUGUUCCUCGUCAUGAGGCUCUAAAAGCUUUUUAAGUGGCACUAAUUGUACAUCAUUCCACACUUCUAUCAUGGGGCUUCGGUUUGUUUGCGUUCAUACAAUGUUGUAGUUACAGCAGUGUUCUUUGUAUACAAAUGCACAAUGAGGAAAGGCUCUGUGAUAUAUCAUUUUAUUACUAUGGUGGUCGUCGAUAUUCGGAGGAAAAGAUGCUGCAGCGGAUUAAGUGAGCCUUUAGCUUAUUAACAGUGUUGCUUGUCUGUGUAGAAAGGUUGAUUCCAGUUUUUAGGGAUCAUGUAUUUGGUUUCUAUUGAUGUAAAUAAACAAAAUGGAUGUAAUGUGAAUGGAUAUUUGUAAGUGUACUUGUUUCUCGUACAACGAAGGCAUUUUUUGCUUCCAUUUUCUCUCGCUUCUUCAGAUUUGAGGUUUCAUCCUUACAUGCUUAAUGCAUGUCAGAUGCACGGUCAAAACCAUAUUUAAAAACCGAUAGUUAUCGGUUUUCGAACGUGAUCCAGUUAAUAAAAUGAUUUGUUCUUGUUCAACCCUUAACCGAAUAAGUCAAAUACUGUCUUUAAAUCGUUCAAACCGGUGGUUGCGGCAAUAAACCGGUUAACCGUUCUGGUUCUAAAUAGACUGGCUUUUUUUUUUUUGAUUAUUUCUUUAUUAUUAUAAAUUUUUAAUUUAAAUUUAUGGUUGAUUUUUUUUAUUUUAGUUUCUAUUUAUUUAUGAAAAGUAAAACUUGAAAACUGUAUCUACUUAAUUUUAGUCUAACAAUCAAUAUUUUCUAAUUAAGUGUAAUAUUAUUAGAAUAAUAAUUCAGUAAGCUUCUGUCCAUACUGUGGCCCAAAUUUUGGUUAGAAAAUGAAACCUAGCCCACUCCUAUGCUAAAAAGUCCGAUAUCCAUCAGGCCUUAUCUAGGCCCAUUUUUUUUUUUAAAAAAAAAUAUGUAAAUAUAAAUAUAAAUAAAUAUAUAUUUUGUGCUAUAAUAUAUACAAAUUAUAUUAAAAACAAUCACUAAUCACAUUAUAUAAUGUAUAAGCUGUAUAAGAUAUAAAACAGUACAAUAAUAUGCAUCAAUAUAUAGGCUUAAUUGGCCACUUAGGAUGGAGACAUCGACUACAUCGAGUUUGUCCCCGUUCCGGUUCGGAUCGGGUUGGGCGGAUUCUCGACACCUCCGGUUCGGUGCAGUUCGCUUCGGGUCGGAUCGCCUUUCGCGAUAACAUGCGUCGUCGAAUCCGAUGCCGCGGCGCGUCCCCUUCGUUCUCGUCGCCUGCGAAUUCGAGCGUGAGGUAAAUCCUUUUUUUUUUUUUUUCGGAUUUCUCGUAUUUUUCAUCUUCAUUAUUGAUCGCUCUAUGUUGAUUACGGAUAAAAAAUUUUCACACUACACGCCAUGGGAAUGUUCUGUGUUUAAUUCUAAGCUAGGGUUUUUGGAUGGGAUAUGAAUGGAGUUGAGGAUCUUUAGGGUAAAUUUUAGGUUUACGUAGUGAUGAAUUAGUUGGUGAACUAUAAACACCCUAGAAAAGAUUGGUCUUAAGAUUCUAACUUUGUAGAGGUAUAGGCUUGUGAUUUGUGAAUAACACCGGUACAUGACCAUUCUUAAACUGUUGAAAAAAAUAAUUAGAUAGAGAAUGGACGUUAUAAUAAGUGCAAAUUUUAGAUCUUGAGUUGCGGAGUGUGAUAAUUGAAGGCACUUCUGGGGGAAUAUUGCAAUGGAUUAUGUAACCAAAAUUAGCAAUUUUUAACUCCUAUGUUUUGCAAUUAGGAUGGGCAUUAUGUUCGUGCGCUAAAAAACACACAUACACGCAUGUGAGAUAGAGGUGACAUAUAUGCGUAGAAUUUAUUGAGCACAAAUGGAAACUGCGCAAAUACUUUAAAUCUAUUUUGAUUACUGAUACAUUAAUCAUGCUGUUCAUCGAAUGCUUUGACGAUUAAAGACAAAGAGUUUUUGCCAGUAUUUAUUUGAUAUAUAGAAGUGGUUGGGUCUUGCUUAAGGACUCAAUGGAUACUUAUGGACGGAGGGGGCUAUGAUGUUUAUCAAGAAUGUUGAUUGAUGAAUCCUAUGAAGAUAGGAUGAUAGGAGAGAGACUUCCUUGAGGUGGUGUUUCUAGCGAUAAAUGUUCAUCUUAUAUUUAAUUGUAUUAAAUUAUAAGGGGUUGUAUUAGAUAUUAUAUACUUUGUAACUGUUGUAACUAUCUACUGAUGAAUGCAUGCUAAUUCACUCUUAUUCCUUAGUUGGUGUUACCUCUGAACCAAAUUCACUAUUAGAAAUUUAGAAUGUUUAUUAUUUGCUUGUCGGUUGACGGGUACUAGGUUGUCUUUAAUUUGUAAAAGAACUAUUUAACAUACUCUUACUCUUGAUUUUAAAAGUUGUACAAAAGCUCAGCUCGAAAUCCUAAUGGAAACUAACUAAUUGGACUCUAAAUGUCUUCGCUUAACUCAUAUUCUGCGGAACUGAUUGUAAAAUAGGUGAACCCUUGUUGUUUAGAAAGUAAUUGGACCACAGGCAAGGGUCAAUAACAAGGAAGAUUUUUCACAAAAGGCAGAUUUGAUAUCGAUGAGAGCGCAAGAAUGUUCAUAAAUGAAAGCAGUAGGCUGAAAGGUGAGAUGCAUACAUUAUUUGCUGUUAGAACAUCUGUGAUAUAUUAAUUUUCCCUGCGAAGACGUAGAGAAUAUUAAUCUUAUAGUAAGUAUUCUUUGAUAUGAAUUGAUACUUUCUGAAAAUAUGUUGUUCAUCUUCUGGAGUUGUUCUUUCCUAUCAUUUUGUUUUCCCUGUUUGUUUUGUGUUUCAUGUGUAAUCAAGUAAUACCAAGGUAGAUGUUUUUUUUUUUGGCCUUUACAAUAAGCAAAAGUUUACCAACAUUUUGUGUGUGUAAAAUACCUUGUAUUUGUUCCAUCUUUUUAAUGCAGGAACAACUGAAGUGACAGCUGGUUCAUUCUAAUUGAUAAAUUGACUCGAGCAUACAGCAGAUUCUGUGGUAAGUCGAGAAAUUUUCAUCUUCACAUAAUACAUACGGUUGUCAGUAUACGUCAAGAUCUCUAACAUGUCAAUUGGCAAAUAGGAUAUGGAAACUGAUCAGAAACCACAAGUUAUUUACCGCUGCAAAAGAUGUCGAAGAAUUGUUGCCUCUCAAGGGAACGUAGUUUCUCAUGAACAGGGUGAGGGUGAGAAGUGCUUCAAAUGGAACAAAAGAGAUAACUCAAAGGGAACAGAUAAGAAACCUGAAUGCUCGUCAAUAUUUGUGGAGCCCAUGAAGUGGAUGCAAGCCGGUAAGCAGAAUUCCCAUAGUUUUCAUCUUUCACUUGUAAAAUAGGAUUCUUAAGCAGUGCUUAAGAAUGUUGUCGAUUUGUCUCGAAACUAAGCCGACUGACUUCAACUUUUAUUCAAUUGGAUUUUGGGCCAAUUUUCAUACAGACUUGGGCCAUGCAAGACAUUGUUAAGAAUCACUCAGUUUCUGUUAAACUCAUUAAGUAGCAUAGGACUCGGACUGAAUCUGAUUAAUUCGUUGAUUAACUAUUUAUAAGAUUUUCCACACUGUUAUUGAAGGCACCUUGUAUCCUGACUUUUUGUACUUGUGGGAGUAUGCCAUAAUAAAAUUGGCCAUGUAAGUAAACAUAAUGGGAUAAAGUAAAUUGUUCUACAUCAUGCCCUGCCAAAUGUUAGAAAAGCGAAUAGUAAUCUUGUACUCAUGAAUAUAAUAUCACUAAUAUCUAGUUCUCUGCACGGUAGAAUGUGUAUGAUGGUAAUGAACUAAGCUGCCUAUUUACAUUAAAAAACUCGACGAUAGCUCAAUCGACUUGCUGAAUUCAUUCCAACUACUCUUGCUGUUAAUUGAAGUCUACUUUUGAGUAUUUAAACAUUCCUUCACAUGUUGUACUCUGAAUUGCGACACGGCAAGCAAACUUUGAUUCUGUGCAGUGGAAGAAGGGCAUGUGGAGGAGAAACUUUGGUGCUUGGGUUGCAAGGCUCGCUUGGGUUCGUUCAACUGGGCCGGCAUGCAAUGCAGCUGCGGAGCGUGGGUGAACCCAGCUUUUCAGAUACAUAAAAGUCGGAUAGACGAAUCCGCUUCUUGAAGUGGUUUUUCUUUGUUCAUUUUCCCUGUGAAAACACUAGUUUGUCAAAUUAGAACAUUCGGCAUGUCAAUGUUUAUGGCGGUUAUGGUUUAUUAGUAGACAUAGUAAUGCAAAAUGAGAGCAAAGGUUGCAUCACUGAGACUAUGAUAAAUCUUAUGAGUCUAGCUUUACGACAGCUUUUCUAUUCAAGAAGCAUCUGUUAGCUGAAACAAAACUCAGAAACUAGAAAAUGUGUACAAACCAAGAAGGGAUAGGACUUUUUUCUUUUUCUUUUUUUGGUGGGUUUUUGCUUAGCAUAGGUCAAAAGCUAAGGGAAUGCACCGAGACAAAACUCUUGUUUGAAGCAUGCAUAUUAUAGUCUCUUGAUUUAACUUUUUGUAUUUAUUAUCUAAUAAUUGACAUAUCAUACACAUCUGUUUAAGUGAUUGGACUUUUCAUCUGUUGCUAGAUUGGGAAGUACGUUGCCGAAUAGCUACCGAGCUUCUUUUUGACGGAAAAUGCUGUUCCUUGAUUCCUUGUGAAGCUAUACUAGCCCUGCAAAUAUAAUAAUGUGAUUUGUGAGAGGGGUUAAAAAAAAAAAAAGAGAAAAAAAGGAAAUUCGUAUAUGGCCUAGGUUGAUUUGGUGAAAAGGUUCUUGUAAUUUUUCGUGUGUUAUUUGGAUCACGGAGUACUAUUGGUGGGAAAAGCCUACUAAUUUAACAUUUGGUGUUCACAUUCUAUUUGAAAAGUAUGUAGCAAAAAUUAAUAGGUAUAUAUGUCACUAAAAAUGUUGCAAUGGAAUGCCAAGUGUUGCUAAAUAACUUGAAAUACAGGUUUUUGUGUUUUAACAUCAAAUAACAUAAAAUUAAACUACUAAGGUUAAAUAAAUUAUUGCGGCCGUAUACGAUAACAUUCGAAAAAGAUAUAAUAAUAAUAAUUGUUGCAGCAGCAGCAACGAUAGAUAGGAGUAGUUGUAAAUAAUAUAUGAUAACGAUGAAAAAGCUUGUAUAUUUGGGUCACCACAUUUUGUUUUUGACUGUAUUAACUAUUCUCAUUUUGGUACGACAAUUGGAAUCAACGUACUCGGAAAUUACCAUGUUGAACUGAGUCAAUGAUACAAACAAGUCCAAGGUUAAUAAUAAUAAUAUAAUACAAGGCCAGGAUGGAAAAGUGGCAAUUUGAUUGGCUAUAAAUAAACAGUUUGAUGUGAAAGAUUUAUUCGCAGGGGGGAUGCUGUAACAGUUACCAAAGCAGCAAUAAUUAAUAAGCCUCAUUAUUGGGUAACAUUUAAUGUGGAGUUACUGAUGUGACUUUUAGCUAAUUUAGUAAUUACCUUCUUUUCACAAUUAUGUUAGCAUGAAAAAAAUAAAUCAAUAAAAUAACCACUCAGAUUAAUAAAAGAGUCGCUUCCCUAAUAAAUUUGUAAAAUAGUAUUUCUUUUCCCAGAAAUAAGAGUUUAAAGUUGAGAUUGUUGACUUAAAUGGGUCAGCAUUCUACCAUGUGGCAGAAGGUUAUGUUGGGCCAAGUCAUGUUCAAAAGGACGUGAGACUGAGUGGGUUGAGUCAUAUUCAAAGUGGCGUGAGGCUGGUUGGGCCAAGUCACAAUCAAGAUCCUUGAGCGCUGUAUCUAUACGCUUUAAGUGAAUUGGUUGCGUAUUUCUAACAGUUCGAGAUUUUGGAAUUAAUGGUUAGCACCAACGAUCCGACAGAGAUCUCAAAUAUAUUUAUUUUUGAAAAAAAGGUAGCACGCUAUCUGAUUCAUUCAUUAUGUAAAUAAAUUUAAUUACAUAAGGUGAGACCGUUAGAGCUUCAGAAGGCGAUGGAACAAAAGAAAGAAAAACUAGAAAAAAAAAAGGAAGAACUUAAAAAAGCUGAAAAGAGCAUAAAGUUUACCAAAAAAACGACCUCACCCAACUCUACAAAAAUCAGCCCGCUCCUUCCACUGCUUCACCAGUAUUCUAAUACGAUAAGAUCUCAAAUAUUAAUCAUUAAAUUUUUAGUGAACUGCACUAGACAUGGUCGAUGAAUAAUGAUAUUAUUAAUUAUUAUAUGUUCAUAUUAUUAGUGUGAAAAAUCAAUUAUGAGAUAGAAAUAUACAAAUAGUUUCUAGAGAGAGAGAGAGAGAGAGAGAGAGAGAGAGAGAGAGAGAGAGAGAGUUUGUAUUUGUGCAUUGUUUGUGU